CAACGAGCGCUAACUGAUAGUAGCUUUCUGUACCACUAGAUGCCAUUACAGCUGUUGGUUUAGUUUUUGUCUCCACUGAAGGCGCCAAAACAUUUUAAGUCUUUAUUAAAUCACCUUACACUUGAAUUGUAACUUUGUUGAUUAUUAUUGUCUUAGUUUUUAAAUAAUAUGGGUUUAAUUAAGGAUUGUGAAUCGUUCUUUGGAACUAAAGAUCUUUACGAGGUUCUUGGAGUUGACAAAGAUGCCAGUGAAGAGGAAAUCAAAAAAGCUUUUCGGCGUCUCAGUUUAAAACAUCAUCCUGAUAGAUUUCCUAGUGCCAGCGAGGAGGAAAAGAAACCAAUCACAGCUAAAUUUCAAGUUCUUGCUAAGGUCAGUUUUGUUUUAACGGACAAGUCUAAAAGAGAAAUUUAUGAUGCCAGUGGUGUUGUUUCCGAGGAUGAUAUGGAAGACAGUGAAGCAAAUUGGUAUGAUUAUUGGAGAUGUUUGUUUCCAGAGAUUUCCAAAACUGACAUUGAAAGUUACAUCGAAAAAUAUACCAAUUCUGAAGAGGAGAAAAAUGAUCUGAAAGAAUUGUACAUUCGAUAUGAAGGAGACCUUGAUCCUAUUUCUGAGUCAAUGAUUGGGUUUGAUGAAGAGCGACACAGGGCUAUGAUUGAAGAGCUAAUUGAAGCCGAUGAACUCCCAGCUUUUGAAGCUUUUACUAAUGAGCCUAAAGCGAAGAGAGCAAAACGAUUAAGGAAAGCUGAAAGAGAGGCCAAAGCUGCGGAAAGGGAAGCUAAAAAAAGAGAAAAAGAAAAAUCUAAAGGAAAAGAUGUUAUGGCCGAUGAUGAUUUGGUUAAGGCCAUUCAAGCGCGUCACAAACAGAAUUUCACAUCUUUGGUUGACAGACUGGCUGCUAAAUAUGGCAAUGGCGCCGCUGAUGAAGAGGAAGAUGAGGAUUUCGAAGAUGAACAGCAGUCGAGUAAUCGAAAGUCCAAACGAAUAAAAUCUAGAAAAGGUACACCUAAAAAAAGAAAAGUCAAAUAAGUGACCGUAUCUUCAUCUUUGAGUAUUAUAUACUUCCGUUCACCUUUUGAUCAGUGACUCAAGCAACAUUGAUAUUUACCGCUGACCCAUCAGCAAUAUUAUUGAUUGACACUCCAUUUCUUUCAACUAAAUUUGUGACUAAUUUUUUAUUGAUAUUAAGACUUGUUUUGAAAGUAAAAUACAUUUCCAUUGUUUUUAAGUCCGCCAUCUUCUUCUUCAUACCAUUGAAUAUCAAUCAACUUAAUCGUUUGAAUUCAAAAGAGCGAAAAUUACACUUUAAAUUUGUUUAAUUUUGCGUAGAAAUUUGGUAUCUGAGCAAAUUCGCAGUCGAUGAAACAGAUCUCAGCUCAAUGAAUGAUGUCACUUUGGAUAGGAAUGAUGCUGAAUCACUAUUUUUGCAAGGUGGUGCAAAUCAAACAUCAACGGUAACACCACCAGAGGAAAAUGGAGAUAUAACCGACGAUACAACUCUAAUCACCGCUUUUUCAGUCGUCGUCAUCAUAUUGAUAUUUGUUGUUUUUUUAUUCUAUUGUAAACUCAGAAAUCAAAAUGCUAAGGCGUUACAUAGGAGAGCAGCACGUCUGAAGGAACGCUCAAGACAUCAUCGCCCAUCAUCAGACCGUACUGAUGAUCAUUCAGUUUUACCUAAAUCACCAUCAGUGGGAAGCAUACAAUCAACUGGAUCCACUUAUUAUGAUCAGUUAAUGGGAAGUGGAAACAUUCCUAAAGUCCAAAGUAUCUCUCAAUAUGGUGCGCUUUUAGCUCAACACGUACCACCCAAAUGAUUUAAACAGUCUAUUGUCCAGUUAAAUUAAAUUGUCCAUGAUUUUUACGUAAUUCAAAUAAAAUGAAAAUUUUAUUUUAAA